rnacentral:lncRNA from 1 species
CACAUGUCACUGAGGUUGGAUUGAGUUUUAUAGCUCGAGAUAACAUGGGAGACCUGUUGGCAAUGGAAGCAAGAAAACUUGUAGGUCUUCUAGAACCGGUUGAGUUUGAAUGUGAAGUAGCCAUUUAUGCGUUGCAAAGAGUGAAGGAGCCGUGUCUUUCCUCUAUUAGUUUAGAGCUUGACUGUCGUUUGGUGGUUCAGGCUUUGAAAACCAAGUCCUUUCCAGGAAAUGAGCUUGGC